UGUAUGUAAAGGAAUGAGGUGUGAAAGUAUCAUAAUGUUAAGGUGUAUGUAAAGGAAUGAGGUGUGAAAGUAUCAUAAUGUAAGGUGUAUGUAAAGGAAUGAGGUGUGAAAGUAUCAUAAUGUUAAGGUGUAUGUGAAGGAAUGAGGUGUGAAAGUAUCAUAAUGUUAAGGUGUAUGUAAAGGAAUGAGGUGUGAAAGUAUCAUAAUGUUAAGGUGUAUGUAAAGGAAUGAGGUGUGAAAGUAUCAUAAUGUUAAGGUGUAUGUAAAGGAAUGAGGUGUGAAAGUAUCAUAAUGUUAAGGUGUAUGUAAAGGAAUGAGGUGUGAAAGUAUCAUAAUGUUAAGGUGUAUGUAAAGGAAUGUGGUGUGAAAGUAUCAUAAUGUUAAGGUGUAUGUAAAGGAAUGAGGUGUGAAAGUAUCAUAAUGUUAAGGUGUAUGUAAAGGAAUGUGGUGUGAAAGUAUCAUAAUGUUAAGGUGUAUGUAAAGGAAUGAGGUGUGAAAGUAUCAUAAUGUUAAGGUGUAUGUAAAGGAAUGAGGUGUGAAAGUAUCAUAAUGUAAGGUGUAUGUAAAGGAAUGUGGUGUGAAAGUAUCAUAAUGUUAAGGUGUAUGUAAAGGAAUGAGGUAUGAAAGUAUCAUAAUGUUAAGGUGUAUGUAAAGGAAUGAGGUGUGAAAGUAUCAUAAUGUUAAGGUGUAUGUAAAGGAAUGAGGUGUGAAAGUAUCAUAAUGUUAAGGUGUAUGUAAAGGAAUGUGGUGUGAAAGUAUCAUAAUGUUAAGGUGUAUGUAAAGGAAUGAGGUGUGAAAGUAUCAUAAUGUUAAGGUGUAUGUAAAGGAAUGUGGUGUGAAAGUAUCAUAAUGUUAAGGUGUAUGUAAAGGAAUGAGGUGUGAAAGUAUCAUAAUGUUAAGGUGUAUGUAAAGGAAUGUGGUGUGAAAGUAUCAUAAUGUUAAGGUGUAUGUAAAGGAAUGAGGUGUGAAAGUAUCAUAAUGUUAAGGUGUAUGUAAAGGAAUGAGGUGUGAAAGUAUCAUAAUGUAAGGUGUAUGUAAAGGAAUGUGGUGUGAAAGUAUCAUAAUGUUAAGGUGUAUGUAAAGGAAUGAGGUAUGAAAGUAUCAUAAUGUU